rnacentral:rRNA from 1 species
AUUGAACGCUGGCGGCAGGCCUAACACAUGCAAGUCGAUCGGUAACAGGAAGAAGCUUGCUUCUUUGCUGACGAGUGGCGGACGGGUGAGUAAUGUCUGGGAAACUGCCUGAUGGAGGGGGAUAACUACUGGAAACGGUAGCUAAUACCGCAUAACGUCGCAAGACCAAAGAGGGGGACCUUCGGGCCUCUUGCCAUCGGAUGUGCCCAGAUGGGAUUAGCUAGUAGGUGGGGUAACGGCUCACCUAGGCGACGAUCCCUAGCUGGUCUGAGAGGAUGACCAGCCACACUGGAACUGAGACACGGUCCAGACUCCUACGGGAGGCAGCAGUGGGGAAUAUUGCACAAUGGGCGCAAGCCUGAUGCAGCCAUGCCGCGUGUAUGAAGAAGGCCUUCGGGUUGUAAAGUACUUUCAGCGGGGAGGAAGGGAGUAAAGUUAAUACCUUGGCUCAUUGACGUUACCCGCAGAAGAAGCACCGGCUAACUCCGUG